rnacentral:lncRNA from 1 species
AACACCUGCUGUAUUCUCCCGGCAAACACUGGGGCCAUGGUGUUUCUCCUCUAAUGACACCUCAUCAAUCUGCUCCUAUCAACGUCCCAGCCAUGGAGGUGACUUGGAGUGCUCAGAAGCUAUAGAAAAUGUCAACGUUUUGGGAGAAAAGAGGGGAAAGCAAUGUCCAUCUGUACCCAGCUUUCACUUCAGAUUUUGUGAAAUAACACCGACACAUGAGAGUGUACCCAAAACAUCUUUGGUUGCCACUGGAUGCUGAAGCAUUGCGAUCAUCUGAUGUGUCCCUCCAUGGGCAGGAAGUCUCCUACCUCUCGCUUCAGGUUGCAGUUGAUCCGGAGGGGGAUCCUGGGGAUGGUAGCGCCCAUUAGCGCAGUGUCAGCCUUCUUGCAGCAUGGCUAAUGCAGCAUCUGAAAGGAGCAGACGUGCUCGGCUUAAGCAGCCAUAGCGCUGCCACCAGAAUAGCCAGGAAUAACUUGGAGUCAGACUGCUGCUUUAGUUGUCCCUUGGCCCCUUCAUUGGCAUUCUCCAGGACCACCUUCCUUUGAGGAGAGAGAAUAACCCAGGGAAGCAUGGUGUCCACUGGAUUGUUAUGGCUGUGUAAAAAGAGACUGAAAUGGUGAGACCACUUGUAUAUGCUUUGUGUUCACAUGUGCUGGCUUCAUGAUAGAUCAGGCAGUGGACAUGCAUCUGGUCCUGCCAGCAUUACGAGUGCCGGCCUCCAAUCUGCAGCAGAUAAAAGACAGGGAUCAGAGCCACAUGCCCUAGCUGCCAACCAUGGAGCUCUCAGCAACCUCGAGACAUGUCAGGUUGCUGACGGAUACAACUUCCUUGUGAUACAGAAGAGGGCAGUGAUGUUUCAUUUUUGGGGACCGGAAUCAGCAGGGGUACCAGCUGUACAAACUGAUGUGCAAAGAAGUUACUCUGCAAGGGAUACUUGA